AACAGCAUCUCCAGCAUGGCCUUGACGGCUCUCCUCAUGGCGUUGCUUGCUCUUAGCCAAGGGGCCAGUUCUCAGGCAGUGGUGACCCAGGAGCCGUCUCUGAGUGUGAUCCCUGGAGGGACAGUCACCCUGACCUGCAGCUCCGGCACAGGGGCCGUCACCUCUGGGCACUAUCCCUACUGGUUCCAGCAGAAAUCUGGCCAAGUUCCCAGGUUACUCAUCUAUAAUACCAACAUUCUUGUAUCAGGGGUCCCUGCCCGGUUCUCAGGGUCCCUCCUUGGGGACAAAGCCGCCCUCACCAUCAAGGGGGCCCAGCCUGAGGACGAAGCUGACUACUACUGUGUCCUGUGGUACAGCAGUGCAACUCAAGUGGCCAGACCUCUAACCAGUGGGGCAAGUCAUCCCUCAGCAACGGAACUGCACAAGGAGCUGCAAAGAGAAAAAAAACAGACUCUGAAGGAGAAGGGGGUGGUGUCUCUCUUCGACGUUGCUGGCAAGAUUCCUACCAGAGUCCUCCUCGAUAGGCUGGUCCUUUACCUGGAAGAUGGCCAUCUACCUGAGAGCCAGUGA